UCGCCUUUAAUUGCCGAAGAACUCGAUUCCAGAGAUCCAGUUGAGCUUCCGUCACCUUUAGUUUCUGAAGAAAAUGAGUCGAGAGUUUCCGAGUCAUCGGCUACAACUGAAAAAGCAGAGCUGGCUGAAUCGCCUUUCAUUACUGAAGAACUUGAUUCCAGAGAUCCUGUUGAGCCUCUAUCACGUCUAAUUUCUGAAGAAAAUGAGUCUGUAGUUUCUGAGUCAUCUGCUACAACUGGAAAAGCAGAGCUGGCUGAAUCGCCUUUAAUUACUGAAGAACUUGAUUCCAGAGAUCCUGUUGAGCCUCUAUCACGUCUAAUUUCUGAAGAAAAUGAGUCUGUAGUUUCUGAGUCAUCUGCUACAACUGAAAAAGCAAUGCUGGCUGAGUCGCCUUUAAUUGCUGAAGAACUCGAUUCCAGAGAUCCAGUUGAGCUUCCGUCACCUCUAGUUUCUGAAGAAAAGGAGUCGAGAGUUUCCGAGUCAUCGGCUACAACUGAAAAAGCAGAGCUGGCUGAAUCGCCUUUAAUUACUGAAGAACUUGAUUCCAGAGAUCCUGUUGAGCCUCUAUCACCUCUAAUUUCUGAAGAAAAUGAGUCUGGAGUUUCUGAGUCAUCUGCUACAACUGGAAAAGCAGAGCUGGCUGAGUCGCCUUUAAUUGCCGAAAAACUCGAUUCCAGAGAUCCGGUUGAGUCUCCAUCACCUCUAGUUUCUGAAGAUAACGAGUCUAGAGUUUCCGAGUCAUCUGCUACAACUGAGAAAGCAAAGCUGGCUGAGUCGCCUUUAAUUGCCGAAGAACUUGAUUCCAGAGAUCCAGUUGAGCCUCUGUCACCUCUAGUUUCUGAAGAAAAUGAGUCGAGAGUUUCCGAGUCAUUGGCUACAACUGAAAAUGCAGAGCUGGCUGAAUCGCCUUUAAUUACUGAAGAACUUGAUUCCAGAGAUCCUGUUGAGUCUCUGUCACCUCUAAUUUCUGAAGAAAAUGAGUCUGGAGUUUCUGAGUCAUCUGCUACAACUGGAAAAGCAGAGCUGGCUGAGUCGCCUUUAAUUGCCGAAAAACUCGAUUCCAGAGAUCCGGUUGAGUCUCCAUCACCUCUAGUUUCUGAAGAUAACCUCUAGUUUCUGAAGAUAACGAGUCUAGAGUUUCCGAGUCAUCUGCUACAACUGAGAAAGCAAAGCUGGCUGAGUCGCCUUUAAUUGCCGAAGAACUUGAUUCCAGAGAUCCUGAGUCCCCUGUUGCAACUGGAAAAUCAGAUAUUGCUGCAGGAACUAAGUUGUCUAUUAUCUGUAGAGAAAAACAAUUGAGAGCAUCUGAGGUACCUGUUACAACUGAGAAAUCCGAAAUUGUGGUUGAACCUCUGUUGCCUCAAAGCUCGAAAGUAAACAAGUCGAGAGUUUCAGGUUCACCUCUUAUAGUUGAAAAGGACAACUUGGUGGUUGAAACUCAGUUGCCUCUUAUCUACAAAGAAAAUGAUACGGGAGUUUCUUUAUCACCUGUUACUACUGA
rnacentral:lncRNA from 1 species